rnacentral:rRNA from 1 species
CCUACGGGUGGCAGCAGUGAGGAAUAUUGGUCAAUGGGCGCGAGCCUGAACCAGCCAAGUAGCGUGAAGGAUGACUGCCCUACGGGUUGUAAACUUCUUUUAUCAGGGAAUAAAGUGAGGCACGUGUGCCUUUUUGUAUGUACUUUAUGAAUAAGGAUCGGCUAACUCCGUGCCAGCAGCCGCGGUAAUACGGAGGAUCCGAGCGUUAUCCGGAUUUAUUGGGUUUAAAGGGAGCGUAGAUGGGUUGUUAAGUCAGUUGUGAAAGUUUGGGGCUCAACCGUAAAAUUGCAAUUGAUACUGGCAGUCUUGAGUACAGUUGAGGUAGGCGGAAUUCGUGGUGUAGCGGUGAAAUGCUUAGAUAUCACGAAGAACUCCGAUUGCGAAGGCAGCCUACUAAACUGCCACUGACAUUGAUGCUCGAAAGUGUGGGUAUCAAACAGGAUUAGAUACCCUAGUAGUC